rnacentral:rRNA from 1 species
UAGGUCCCGAGCGUUNUCCGGAUUAUUGGGCGUAAAGGGAGCGCAGGCGGUCAGGAAANUCUGGAGUAAAAGGCUAUGGCUCAACCAUAGUGUGCUCUGGAAACUGUCUGACUUGAGUGCAGAAGGGGAGAGUGGAAUUCCAUGUGUAGCGGUGAAAUGCGUAGAUAUAUGGAGGNACACCAGUGGCGAAAGCGGCUCUCUGGUCUGUCACUGACGCUGAGGCUCGAAAGCGUGGGUAGCGAACAGGAUUAGAUACCCUGGUAGUCCACGCCGUAAACGAUGAGUGCUAGGUGUUAGGCCCUUUCCGGGGCUUAGUGCCGGAGCUAACGCAAUAGGCACUCCGCCUGGGGAGUACGACCGCAAGGUUGAAACUCAAAGGAAUUGACGGGGGCCCGCACAAGCGGUGGAGCAUGUGGUUUAAUUCGAAGCAACGCGAAGAACCUUACCAGGUCUUGACAUCCCGAUGCUAUUCUUAGAGAUAGGAAGUUACUUCGGUACAUCGGAGACAGGUGGUGCAUGGUUGUCGUCAGCUCGUGUCGUGAGAUGUUGGGUUAAGUCCCGCAACGAGCGCAACCCUUAUUGUUAGUUGCCAUCAUUAAGUUGGGCACUCUAGCGAGACUGCCGGUAAUAAACCGGAGGAAGGUGGGGAUGACGUCAAAUCAUCAUGCCCCUUAUGACCUGGGCUACACACGUGCUACAAUGGUCGGUACAACGAGUUGCGAGCCGGUGACGGCAAGCUAAUCUCUGAAAGCCGAUCUCAGUUCGGAUUGGAGGCUGCAACUCGCCUCCAUGAAGUCGGAAUCGCUAGUAAUCGCGGAUCAGCACGCCGCGGUGAAUACGUUCCCGGGCCUUGUACACACCGCCCGUCACACCACGAGAGUUUGUAACACCCGAAGUCGGUGAGGUANCCUUUUAGGGGCCAG